AACACAUGCAAGUCGAGGGGUAACAGGGAAGUGCUUGCACUUCUGCUGACGACCGGCGCACGGGUGCGUAACGCGUAUACAAUCUGCCUUGUACUGGGGGAUAGCCUUUAGAAAUGAAGAUUAAUACCCCAUAGUAUAUGACUGUGGCAUCGCAGACAUAUUAAAGGUUACGGUACAAGAUGAGUAUGCGUCCUAUUAGCUAGAUGGUGUGGUAACGGCACACCAUGGCGACGAUAGGUAGGGGCCCUGAGAGGGGGAUCCCCCACACUGGUACUGAGACACGGACCAGACUCCUACGGGAGGCAGCAGUGAGGAAUAUUGGACAAUGGAGGCAACUCUGAUCCAGCCAUGCCGCGUGCGGGAAGACGGCCCUAUGGGUUGUAAACUGCUUUUAUACGGGAAGAAACACCCCCACGUGUGGGGGCUUGACGGUACCGUAAGAAUAAGCACCGGCUAACUCCGUGCCAGCAGCCGCGGUAAUACGGAGGGUGCAAGCGUUAUCCGGAAUCAUUGGGUUUAAAGGGUCCGUAGGCGGACAAUUAAGUCAGAGGUGAAAGUCUGCAGCUCAACUGUAGAAUUGCCUUUGAUACUGGUUGUCUUGAAUUAUUGUGAAGUGGUUAGAAUAAGUAGUGUAGCGGUGAAAUGCAUAGAUAUUACUUAGAAUACCAAUUGCGAAGGCAGAUCACUAACAAUAUAUUGACGCUGAGGGACGAAAGCGUGGGGAGCGAACAGGAUUAGAUACCCUGGUAGUCCACGCCGUAAACGAUGGAUACUAGCUGUUCGAUUUUCGGAUUGAGUGGCUAAGCGAAAGUGAUAAGUAUCCCACCUGGGGAGUACGUUCGCAAGAUGAAACUCAAAGGAAUUGACGGGGGCCCGCACAGCGUGAGCAUGUGUUUAUCGAUGAUACGCGAGACUACAGGCUAAUGUAUGGACAGUCUAGAAUAGACCUCUCGACUCAUACAGUGCUGCAUGUGUCGUCAGCUCUGC
rnacentral:rRNA from 1 species